GCCCCCGUAGCUCAGUGGAUAGAGCAUAGGAUUCCUAAUCCUUGAGCGCAGGUUCGAUUCCCGCCGGGGGCACCA
rnacentral:tRNA from 1 species